CAAAACGUAGCUUAACUAAAGCAUCUUGCUUACACCAAGAAUAUAUUUGUUAAACUCAAAUCGCUUUGA
rnacentral:tRNA from 1 species